rnacentral:rRNA from 1 species
GACGGAAGGUGCAAGUGUUGUCCGGAAUUAUUGGGCGUAAAGCGCGCGCAGGCGGUUUCUUAAGUCUGAUGUGAAAGCCCCCGGCUCAACCGGGGAGGGUCAUUGGAAACUGGGAAACUUGAGUGCAGAAGAGGAAAGUGGAAUUCCAAGUGUAGCGGUGAAAUGUGUAGAGAUUUGGAGGAACACCAGUGGCGAAGGCGACUUUCUGGUCUGUAACUGACGCUGAGGCGCGAAAGCGUGGGGAGCAAACAGG